AACAUUUUCUUCCUAAGCUUUGGUUAAUGCAUGUAUUGAAACUUGAUAGUCUGACAUUGUAUUGUUAUUCCCUUCAAUUGAUGGUUCAGUAAGCAAUGGAGUGGAGUGAAGUUGUGUUCAACCCAAAUAUCUACAGAAAUUGAAAGCAACAUUACAUACUGAAGAAUCACAAGGCAAUUUAAACAUAAUCGAAUUGAAUUUUAAUCAAUACCUGUUUUUGUAGUCUUCUAAAACAAACAAAUUGAUAUCAUGAAAUGGAAGCACAACUACUAAAAAUUAGAUUAUCUCACAACACACCAUUCAGAAAGAGGACCAACAAUAGAAAAACCUUACACAUAGCUAUAUUUACAUAUUAUUUCCUCAAGAAAAUAAAGUAAUAAAAGUGAGAAGAUAAGAGUUGAAGUGCCUUACCAUCCAUCAUUGUUUUGCUUGAUUUGUAGCCAGGGGCGAAGUCAAAACAAUUUUUUAGGGGGGCCGAAUGAAAUUUUAAUUUUUUAUAGUCUAUAUCUUUAUAUUUUUUAAAGGAUUAAAUCGAAUUUUUAUAAUUUUAAGGGGGCAAAGUGAAAUUUUACCUUUAUUAAUUUAAAACUUUUAAAAAAGUUGAGGGCCUAAAUAGUAAUUUUCCAUUUUAGGAGGCCGAUGACCCUGCCAUCGCCCCUAGAUUUGCCUCUGUUUGCAGCAG
rnacentral:lncRNA from 1 species